ensembl:lncRNA
AAAAUGUCAACAGUGGAACCAUGAUUGCACAUCACACAUGAGAGGGAUUUGAGACAGAGCACUUCGUCACUCAGUCCUCAUCAGAGAAGCUUCUACUUGAAGUAGAUGGCAACAAACACUAGACCCAUAUUCGGACAAUGUGGAAACACUAACAGACUUUGGAGCACUCAGCACUAAAUGCAAUGCCUGCAUCAAACAUUCCUCAAUGUUUCCCCAGGAAUCAAUUCAGAAGUGGAGGCAAAAGAUUGUAAGAGCUAAAAGCAGCCAAUGACUCAAAAAAAAUCUUCCAGACACAACAAGGCUGAUACAUUAUAAAUAUAAAGAGUCCUUGGCAGCAUUUACAAGACCUCCACAAUUGCAACUCAGACAAAUCCAAGAACAGAGAAGGGAGGAGGUCACCAGCCACAUGGAUGACAAUGGCAGACCAAAUGUCCACUGAUGGUAUCUGGAUGGAGACAGAAAUUGAUCAAAGCAGCCAUUGUACUUAGUGAAAGUCUACGUGUCUGAUAGUUAUGAGUAAGCUUUCCCCUCUUUGUGUGUGAACCAAUAAAUUGUGAUAUACUAGAUGCUCAUUCUUUGGGUCCUGACAUAGCACCUGCAGGAUUGCUGAAGGGCCACUGGCCCCUGUGGGACUGUCUCAUGUGGGAAGAAAAUAAAAAUCUAUGACAGUCUGUCAUGUAACAGACCACAAAUCUUUAUCCAGCCAUGAAGAAGGAUAGGGACUUGCUUAUGAUGGUCUGCAUGUCUUCCCUGCCUUUCCUUCCUUGAUGACUACAGGAACUAGCAUUAGUUCCUGUAUGGAAACACAUGUCCAAAACCAUGAAUUCAUUCCAUUUUCAGGUGUAUAUGCAUUUAAUUCUAGACUUGGCUAAUAGCUUGCCAAGCAAAUCCAUCCUGCAACAAUUGCAAGCUGGACGUACCCAGUUACCUAGAACCAAAGAUGAAGGAACAAGUCCAGACUAUCAACCAAGAGUCACCUUUUAUAGGACCAUCAGUGAACACAUUGCUCAAGCUGAGGAUAUGCCGCUCCAAACAUUGAGUGAUGCAUUGAGUGAUGUGGUGGAAAUGCCUACUAUAGUGCUACACGAAUAGAACACCAUUGAAAAGACCCUGAUUUUCAUGCUAAUGUAACUGUAAAUACCAUCUCAUGGCAGUUGUGGAAUGGAUGAAUCAUCCUGUACUAUAAUGACCCCAGUCUACUAAAUUUCCCCACGAUUCAAGUGGAUUUGUGAAUAAUAUGGCUGGCAUACUUGACAGGUGGAUACUUGCCAGAUGAAAAGACAGGACAUUGCGUCUGUGCAUCUCUCCACACUACACCACUUACCCCACAACUGGGAUGCUGUAUACUGUACAUAUAGAGGUACCGAGAGAAGAAGCACACUCCAUGAUACCACUUGAGAUCUUUUGUUAGGUGCAUGGAGACCCUUGUACCAACAUAUCACUAGAGAAACCAGGAGUGUUAAGCACAGUAUUGUCCUUACAAAAGGAAGGACAUAUAACAUGCUUUUCCAUAUAGAAAGCUGGGAAUUAGAGGUGAUUAAUAACCUGGUGAUCUUCAUUAUCUGUUGAGCCAGGCCAUGUCAAUCUUUCACAACCUGGACCAAGUUUGCUGAUAGUCUAAAUGACCCUUGCAUUAUUUACAUAGCCAGGGACUCCCCAAAACUUCCACAACCGAGACCAGAGGUGACUAAUAUCGCAAAUGACCUCUAUGCUAUCUGUAUGAUAGAGACCACUCCAGAUCCCUAAGCCCUUAAGCUAAUCCAGGUAGCCUAUUUCUAGAACCCAUCUUUUUGGAAAAAGUCAAUUGUACUUCAAAUUGAGCUUUGUUGUAAUUAUGCCUCCUUGUGUACCAGGAUGGUAUUACACCAGGAAACUUUUUUUCCAAAUUGUACUGUGUUUAAUGUACUGUCAGUAAGCCAUCUUGGCAUGAGACUCAUGAAGUUUGAUUCAGUUCUACUGAACUGAGUUUUCAUUCUCAUCUCUGCAGACCCUCUAAUCUUAGCCCUAGAUCUCAGACCCAUCACCAGACAAUAAUAUUCAAAGACCCACCAUGAGUGAUCUACUGCCACCAACCAGGGUUCACUUCAUAAAACUACCAUAACUUCUCAAAAUAGUAGCACCAGGUGGGGACCAGGUAUUCAAACAUAUGUACUCAUGGGAGGGUGUUUUAUACUGAAAACAUAACAGCCAUCCAAUUUCUUCUCAUGAAAUGAAAUUAUCAACCCUGUCCCUUCUACCUUCUCUCCCACACCAAACUCACCCAUGUACACGUGGAACUGCUCCCUAACUUUAACAGUUAAAAGUGACAGAAUUAAUAGAGUUGAUUUUAAGAGAAUUAAGAUGGUUCCUUUAGUGCAUGGACCAUUGCAACCAGUAUCCAUCUUGACCCAUUGGGUGAACAGGACAGCCUUUCCACAUUAUUGUCAGCCAUCUGCAGUGAAGUCGCUCUCUGUCUUUCAAUUAGGACCAAGGUCUCCACACUCAAUUAAAAUCUUACCUGUCGGCAGCACCCAUCAACAGAUCAUGGCCAGGUCAAGAAAUCCAAUUUGUCUCUCAAAAUAUAUACCCAUUGUGAUAUAGAGCUACUGAGAAAAAAUCAUAAAUGAUUAUGAAGUGGUGACUGGUAAUUUAAAACUGAUUAACCCUCCAGUUGUGGGAAAUGAUGGCACAGUACUGUGUGUGGCUUGUGCCUUCCUCUAGGGAUGACCAAUUUUAUGAUUAACUAUUCAUUGCCAAUCAUAAUUCAACUGUAUUUUUAUAUUACAAAAAUUUGUCAGAAGCUUAAAUUUAAAGCAGUUUUCAAAAUUCCCUUUUACCUAUCUUUGAUUACCUCACAAAACUUUGUGGUAUUGUACUGUGGUAUUGGUUUCAAAGAGCCAUAAGGCAGGACUGAGAGAAAAUGGAUGUAGAGUUAAAAAAAAUGACCUGUAUACUAUUUUUGCAAUCUGGCCCCCUUUGUGCAUAAUUUAUCUCUUUUAUCCUUUUGUUUAAUGCAUGGAAAAAGUAAAAUGUCAAAUAGUAGAGAGUCCAUAAAAUUCUGCUUUUAGCUGUGCUUAGAUAACCUGCUGUGGAUUAUAACUGGUUUCUCUAUGCAUGUUAACAUUCUGUACAAGUGAGUAUACAUAUAUGUGUGCACACACUAAACUAUAUGUACCCCUCUUAGUCCCUAAUAUGGUAGUAAUGGUCUAUACAGAUUGCUCUUCAUUUUGUGUUUUUCUUCCUUUACACUGCAGCUUGGGAAUCAAGUUCUAUCAGUAAGUAUCUGCAUCAUUCUGUUUAGAAGAAUAUUCUCAGUACAUUGUUAUAAUCGGUUUAGAGCAGUGAUGUCCAACCUUUUGGCUUCUUGUCUUGGGCAAUAAGUUAAAUGCAUGAAUGCCAAUGAAAGCUGGUGAGAAAAAUUUUCUGUGUGACUUUGUAAUGUGUUACCACAAAUAAAAAAGACUACACAGUAGCUCUAAUAAUGUGGCACACUGUUCAGGGUCUUUUAAAUCAUUGAGCAGAUCCCAAGCUUGUGAUCAUUAAUAAAGAAAGUGAAUACCACUAAGUACUAAAUUUUCAUUUUUUUAUGUUUCUAUUAUAAAA